AGGACGAACGCUGGCGGCGUGCUUAACACAUGCAAGUCGAGCGGAAAGGCCUUUCGGGGUACUCGAGCGGCGAACGGGUGAGUAACACGUGAGUAAUCUGCCCAUCGCUUCAGGAUAGCCAUCGGAAGCGGUGAUUAAUACUGGAUAUGACAUUCCUUCGCAUGUUGGGGUGUGGAAAGUUUUUCGGCGGUGGAUGUGCUCGCGGCCUAUCAGCUUGUUGGUGGGGUAAUGGCCUACCAAGGCUUUGACGGGUAGCCGGCCUGA
rnacentral:rRNA from 1 species